UAUUAAACUAAUUUGUGGACCCUAAUUUCUACGAGAGCAUCUCAUUAUCGUGGAAAAAAAUAACAUAAUAAAUCAUAAAAUUAAAGAGGAGGGCUUGGUCAUAACUAUAUUUGAUAAUUAAUUCAUAACUCUUUAAUUUACAUGAACAACCUUUACGUUUCUGCUAAAUAUUAAUCGGUGUUGGACCUCUUAUUACACGUAACAUGUGAUAUUCUUUUUGUUUGCUAAAAAGAAAGUGAUUCAUUAUAUAUAUGCAUGUUGUGUGUGAGUUAGCACAGAGCUAAUUGGUGAAUCUACAAAGAAGAGCAUUUAUAUACCUGCUGCUUGAUGUGGAAUUUUGCUUUUGUUUUUAGCAAUAACAUGUACAAUCUUGGAUUCUAUUGCAACGAAAGCAGAUCAAGUUUCAGAGUGAAAUUUAUAAUUGUAGUUUUAUUGGUGUGAAUUAUCCUGCACACACACCAUGAUAUCUUUGCUCAUGAGUAAUCUGCAGGGUCCUUUGGUCCAAAAGAGUUUCAGCAGCUAGGCAGUGCAACAGUCGUUGAGUACUUCCAUGUGCCUCCUUAUGCUGGGAUUUUGUUAGACCGGUAUCCCAGGAAGAAGUUGUCAAGUUAAGUGAACAAUUGAGUUAUUUGAAAAGUUUGAUCCACGGGCAUUUGGGCAAUGGUGGGUUUGCAGACCAGGUAAAUGGAGAAAACAUGCUGAGUUCGAACA